rnacentral:rRNA from 1 species
AUUGAACGCUGGCGGCAUGCUUUACACAUGCAAGUCGAGCGGCAGCACGGGGGCAACCCUGGUGGCGAGCGGCGAACGGGUGAGUAAUACAUCGGAACAUGCCCAGUCGUGGGGGAUAACACUUCGAAAGAAGUGCUAAUACCGCAUGCGUCCUGAGGGAGAAGGCGGGGGAUCUUCGGACCUCGCGCGAUUGGAGUGGCCGAUGUCAGAUUAGCUAGUUGGUGGGGUAAAGGCCUACCAAGGCAACGAUCUGUAGCUGGUCUGAGAGGAUGAUCAGCCAGACUGGGACUGAGACACGGCCCAGACUCCUACGGGAGGCAGCAGUGGGGAAUUUUGGACAAUGGGGGCAACCCUGAUCCAGCCAUUCCGCGUGAGUGAAGAAGGCCUUCGGGUUGUAAAGCUCUUUCGGCAGGAACGAAACGGCGAGCUCUAACAUAGCUUGCUAAUGACGGUACCUGAAGAAGAAGCACCGGCUAACUACGUGCCAGCCGCCGCGGUAAUAC